AGAACAGGGCACAGUCUCUACCCUUCCCCAUGAACUGCCUGGUGCCACUGCUGACAACAGCACUGUGUUUGUUUACUUCCUCCUGUUUUCUAUCCAGAGGACAGGGCCCAGAGAGGGCUUCUCCUGCCCUGGUUGGGGGCAGGCAUGCAGUGAGCCCUCCAGGAAUUAGGACCCAGCUGGGAAGGGAAGACUCACCCGUGUGAAGCAAGGAGAGGGAGGCCACAAAGUCAAUGCUGAAACAGACACUAGAUAAAGGCUCCUGCCCAUGUUUUCCCUUCACUUCCUUUGCUUCCUGACCGACCUUGGUGUCUCCCGAUGCAGCCCUGCAUGAGAUUCCAUGCCUCUGGGAUCUAGGGAUCAGUGAGUAUAAAUUCUUACCUCAUGACAGUAAUUUCUGUGUCUUUGUGUCUUACCAUAUCUGAUUCAAACAAAUCCAAAUAAAAUUAUAUAUAUAU